CUAACCAUAAUUAAUAGUUACACAUUCGACGUCACUUAACUUAUUCAAGUAGUGCUUCAGUGCGUUAAAUCUCUUAUUUAAACUUUUUUACUUUUCGAAAACAGGAUUUAACCUUGUAUAGGAAAUCAAACCAAAUCCUUCCUGUAUAGGAGGACAACUGCUGUCACCAAUGCUCCACUCCACUGGAAGUAGCUGAACGAACUCUCCACUGACUCCUUUUUUGGGGGAAACUCUCCCAGUGCAAUUUAUUCAAUAACAAUCGAUACGUUUGUUGAUGAAUUUUUUUUUUUGUUAGAAUGUCCAACGUGCUUAACAAUUACCAAACUUUUACGAAAUUUGCUAGAUCAGUUGUUCAAAUAAUCUUGUAGUUAUAGGGCGUUUUAUCUUCCGUGUUUAUCACAAUUUUAAAGUUAGUGGAACAUCCAUUUUCUCACCAACAUGCACAGCAGAAAAUUUCUUAAUGUGGCACUUGAUUUUCCGCUUACUCUUUUUUCUGUCUGCUCAUAUUGCUUUGUUAACUUUAAUGACAUGUUAAGUGUCGUGUAAACUUGACCAAAUGUGAAUAUUGCGGAACCAAUAUCCGUCAAUGUAUUAUUAAAUUUCAAAAUUAUUAGAGACAUAGAAUUAAUAAGAUACAAUCUGUUAAAAGUGCAUUUUUCAACUGUAUUUUGAAAUUUUCAUUACCUUUCAAUCUUUUUAUAACAUAAUCUCGUCAAAUUUUAAUAACCCAAUGAUUCGUAAACUUUUAUUGUAACAUAUUUUUAAAAUACCUUGUAUACUUUCGAUUUGAAAUUUUUUAUCUGCAAUUUUUUAUAUUUUUUUCCACUUGUUUUGCAAAUAAAUAUUUUUUUGCAGUGUAUUUUCUUUGAAUAA